CUUAUACUCCCUCCGUCCCAAAAUAAGUGUUGCUGAUUUAGUACAAAGUUAGCACAAUGUUGUACUAAAUCAGCAACACUUAUUUUGGGACGGAGGGAGUAUAUA
rfam:Triticum urartu cultivar G1812 contig390062, whole genome shotgun sequence.